rnacentral:misc_RNA from 1 species
AUGGUAUGAAUAUUGGGCUUAUUUCAACUGUUUACUCUAUGCACUUUCUAUCAUCAUUUAACUGAGUAAUACAUGCGAAACACCUCAGUGUGCCAUACCUGACUAGCCUAUCAAUUUUAUCUUUUAGCUGCUUGCACUUGUCAAUGGUAUAGCCAUAAUCAUCAUGAAACCGACAAAACUUACUUUGGUCCCUCCAAUCUGCAAUUCUUGGAUUUAACAUUUUUGGAUACUUGAUUGACUCUAUUCUUUUGAAUCCUAAACCCUAGAUUGGGAUCCACUUAGGGAAGUGUAAUUUCUGAACUUGUCUAGCACUCUAUCGUUGUUGAGAUACUCAGCCUUUUUGUCAAUGCUGUCUGGGCUACUUUUCUUUUCUUCCACCUUCACCUUUUUUUCAAGCUUUCUAUAAUUGUUUCUCAUCAUCCAGUUGGAUAUAUUUCUGGGCACACUCCAUGAGGGAUGAUAAUUCCGAACUAGAUUCUUGAUCAAUGAGUCAACAAAUUCGACAUUAUUCCACCCCUUCUUAAUUGCCUCACAUGCAAUUUCAUGGUUCAUAUGCUCGAACUGGAUGGCCUCAACAAUGAAUCGGUCGAUGUAACUGUGCAGUGACUCAUCCUCCUUCUGGCAGACCUUCUGCAAAUCUAGUGAGAGAUUUUUAAGCAGG